AUGGAUCGUGGGCCUCCUCUCCGGCGCAUGGUUGAGAGACCCCUACCGAAGGAACGGGAGGCGCGCCCUUCGCGACUUCCGCCAACUAGCCGUUUCAUCUGGGAUCAACAAGGAGGUUCUCCCCGGCGGAACUCCGCUCUAGGCGUUUCAUCCGGGAUCACGUCUCCCCUCCUUGAAGUUCAGCCUCCCGAUUGAGCUCCGCGCCAGACGCUUGAUCCGGGACCGCGCCUCCAUAUGCUCUUCUCCCUUGUAUUCCUUCUCUCCCCUAACACUGGGGAGGACCGGAAUAUCCCUU
rnacentral:lncRNA from 1 species